rnacentral:rRNA from 1 species
UACGUAGGUGACAAGCGUUAUCCGGAUUUAUUGGGCGUAAAGCGCACGCAGGCGGCUCUUCAAGUCUGACGUGAAAUCUCUCGGCUUAACCGGGAGCGGUCGUUGGAAACUGAAGGGCUUGAGGCGAUGAGAGGUAAGUGGAAUUCCGAGUGUAGAGGUGAAAUUCGUAGAUAUUCGGAAGAACACCAGUGGCGAAGGCGACUUACUGGACACAUAUUGACGCUGAGGUGCGAAAGCGUGGGGAGCAAACAGG